UGCUUACAUCCACGACAAUAAUGGACUGAACCCUCUGAAACUGGCCUGGGCACAUGGUGGUGGCUCCUUCAUCAGCUGGACCAGUCUGGGGGCUGAACUGAGAUCUGCCUGAGGACCAGCAGGAUGCUCCUCCCAGCAGUGAGAGUAGAGAUCAUUGCAGUUGCCUCAGAAGUCCCGAUCCAGUGCUGCAAGCCUGGAAGCUGGAGAACUGCUGACUUCUAAUCCCCAUGGGAAGCUGGAAGAAAGCAUGAAGUUGGACAUCAGGGGAGGAUGGUAGCAGAUAUGACAGAUGUACUCACAGAAGAAGGAAAAGGAGAAGGAGGAGGAGAAGAAAGAGGAGAAGGGGAGAAGGAAGAGGAGAAGAAUGGAUGAGGAAAGG